AAGGGAAGAAAUUAAUAUUACUAAUAAUAAUAUUAACUGACAUUACCUACAAAAGAAGUACCGGCUAACUCCGUGCCAGCAGCCGCGGUAAUACGGAGGGUGCUAGCGUUAAUCGGAAUUAUUGGGCGUAAAGGGUGAGUAGGUGGUUUUAUAAGUCAGAUGUGAAAUCUUUAAGCUUAACUUAAAAACUGCAUUUGAAACUGUUUUACUAGAGUUUCAUAGAGGGGGGUAGAAUUCCAGGUGUAGCGGUGAAAUGCGUAGAUAUCUGGAGGAAUAUCAGUGGCGAAGGCGGCCCCCUGGAUGAAAACUGACACUGAAUCACGAAAGCGUGGGUAGCAAACAGGAUUAGAUACCCUGGUAGUCCAUGCUGUAAACGAUGUCGAUUUGAAGAUUGUAAUUUUAUUAUAAUUUUCGUAGCUAACGUGUUAAAUCGACCGCCUGGGAAGUACGACCGCAAGGUUAAAACUCAAAUGAAUUGACGGGGGCCCGCACAAGCGGUGGAGCAUGUGGUUUAAUUCGAUACAACGCGAAAAACCUUACCUGCUCUUGACAUCCAAAGAAUGAAAUAGAAAUAUUUUAGUGUCCUUUAUUAUUAAGGAAGCUUUGAGACAGGUGCUGCAUGGCUGUCGUCAGCUCGUGUUGUGAAAUGUUGGGUUAAGUCCCGCAACGAGCGCAACCCUUAUCUUUUAUUGCCAACGAGUUAAGUCGGGAACUUAAAAGAAACUGCCGAUGAUAAAUCGGAGGAAGGAGAGGACGACGUC
rnacentral:rRNA from 1 species